rnacentral:rRNA from 1 species
UGUAAGCGUAUACCAAAGUUGUUGCAGUUAAAACGCUCGUAGUCGGAAUUUGGCAGUUCCGGAUGUGUGCACGUCGUGUGCGCACUUCGCGGGGAUUGCUUUUGUGGUCUUGCGUAGGAUGAGGCACUUUUAUUAGUGAACGUCCUCACGCAACCACUUUUUACUGUGAGAAAAUCAGAGUGCUCAAAGCAGGCAUUUGCCGUGAAUGUAUUAGCAUGGAAUAAUAGAAUAGGACUUGGUUCUAUUUUGUUGGUUUGUUGGGACUGAGUAAUGAUUAAGAGGGACAGUUGGGGGCAUUUGUAUUUCGGUGCUAGAGGUGAAAUUCUUGGAUUGCCGAAAGACAAACUGCUGCGAAAGCGUCUGCCAAGGAUGUUUUCAUUGA